UACGAAGGGGGCUAGCGUUGCUCGGAAUCACUGGGCGUAAAGCGCACGUAGGCGGGCUCUUAAGUCGGUGGUGAAAUCCUGGAGCUCAACUCCAGAACUGCCUCCGAUACUGGGAGUCUUCGAGUCCGGGAGAGGUGAGUGGAACUGCGAGUGUAGAGGUGAAAUUCGUAGAUAUUCGCAAGAACACCAGUGGCGAAGGCGGGCUACUGGGCCGAUACUGACGCUGAGGCGCGAAAGCCAGGGGAGCAAACGGG
rnacentral:rRNA from 1 species